rnacentral:rRNA from 1 species
UACAGAGGUCCCAAGCGUUGUUCGGAUUCAUUGGCGUAAAGGGUGCGUAGGCGGCGCGGUAAGUCGGGUGUGAAAUCUCGGAGCUUAACUCCGAACUGCAUUCGAUACUGCCGUGCUUGAGGACUGGAGAGGAGACUGGAAUUUACGGUGUAGCGGUGAAAUGCGUAGAUAUCGUAAGGAAGACCAGUGGCGAAGGCGGGUCUCUGGACAGUUCCUGACGCUGAGGCACGAAGGCCAGGGAGGCAAACGGG